UUAAACGUCCAUACCACGUUAAAUACACCGGUUCCCGAUCGACUUCGCACAAGUUAAGCACCGUCGGGCGCGGUCAGUACUUGGAUGGGUGACCGCCUGGGAACACCGCGUGACGUUGGCU
rnacentral:rRNA from 1 species